AUUGAACGCUGGCGGCAGGCUUAACACAUGCAAGUCGAGCGGAGAUGAGGUGCUUGCACCUUAUCUUAGCGGCGGACGGGUGAGUAAUGCUUAGGAAUCUGCCUAUUAGUGGGGGACAACAUUCCGAAAGGAAUGCUAAUACCGCAUACGCCCUACGGGGGAAAGCAGGGGAUCUUCGGACCUUGCGCUAAUAGAUGAGCCUAAGUCGGAUUAGCUAGUUGGUGGGGUAAAGGCCUACCAAGGCGACGACCUGUAGCGGGUCUGAGAGGAUGAUCCGCCACACUGGGACUGAGACACGGCCCAGACUCCUACGGGAGGCAGCAGUGGGGAAUAUUGGACAAUGGGCGGAAGCCUGAUCCAGCCAUGCCGCGUGUGUGAAGAAGGCCUUUUGGUUGUAAAGCACUUUAAGCGAGGAGGAGGCUACCUGGAUUAAUACUCUAGGAUAGUGGACGUUACUCGCAGAAUAAGCACCGGCUAACUCUGUGCCAGCAGCCGCGGUAAUAC
rnacentral:rRNA from 1 species